rnacentral:rRNA from 1 species
GACGAACGCUGGCGGCGUGGAUUAGGCAUGCAAGUCGAACGGUAUCAUCCUUUCGGGGGUGAGAGAGUGGCGAACUGGUGAGUAACACGUAGGUUAUCUACCCUCAAGACGGGGACAACCCAGGGAAACUUGGGCUAAUACCGGAUGUGAGCAACUUUUAGUUGUUUGAAAGGUGGCGUAAGCUGUCGCUUGGGGAUGAGCCUGCGUCCUAUUAGUUAGUUGGUGAGGUAACGGCUCACCUAGGCAAUGAUAGGUAGGCGGCCUUAACGGGUGGUCGCCCACACUGGGGAUUGAGAUACGGCCCAGACUCCUACGGGAGGCAGCAGUCGAGAAUAGUCUACAAUGGUCGGAAGACUGAUAGUGCGACGCCGCGUGAACGAUGAAUCCCUUCGGGGUGUAAAGUUCUUUUAUAUGUGAGCAGUGCUUCUUAUAUUAACAGUAUGGGGAGAGAGAUAUUAGCAUAUGAAUAAGCAACGGCUAACUCCGUGCCAGCAGCCGCGGUAAACUCG